UACGGAGGGUGCAAGCGUUAUCCGGAUUCACUGGGUUUAAAGGGUGUGUAGGCGGGUAUUUAAGUCAGUGGUGAAAUCUCUGAGCUCAACUCAGAAACUGCCAUUGAUACUAUUUAUCUUGAAUAUCGUUGAGGUUGGCGGAAUAUAUCAUGUAGCGGUGAAAUGCAUAGAUAUGAUAUAGGACACCGAUUGCGAAGGCAGCUAACUAAGCGAUGAUUGACGCUGAGGCACGAAAGCGUGGGGAUCAAACAGG
rnacentral:rRNA from 1 species